GCAACAUUCUUAGGUCCAGCAACAUUUGAAGGCGUAUUUUAAUGAAAAUCGGUCUUCAUUCGCCCCACAAAACAAGUAAUGUCUGAAUACAGCAAAGUCCGUUGACAUACAUACACGUAUUAAAAAUACAAAUAAAUAAAUAUAAACAAGUUUUUAAAUAUUUAAUUCAACAACCACCACUUCGUUGAGAAAGGCGUGCGAUAAAGAGUACUUGUGAAAAUUUGAAAAUUUAGCCACAUGAAAAACUGUUGAAUUUUUAACAUAACUAUAAUUUUAUUGUGAAGGACCAUGGACCAUAUAUCAUGCCUCAUUUAAUUUAAAAACAAAGUGUCAAUAAUAGAGAGAGAUUGAUAAACAUGUACAUACAUAUGUAAAUAUAAAUCCAUUGAUAUCGUAUCAGAUACUGAUACGACGGCACUAGUACCGGCUUUUGGAUUACGCGCUCCCUUCUAAGAAAGUCUGUAUUUUUUUGCCGUUGCGGACAAGGAACAAACAUAAAUAUUUUGCUUUUUUUCGGAACUCAGAAAAGUAAUUGAACAAACAAUAUACAAAAAAAAGAGGCAAACAAAAAACAACACCCAAAUAUUUGUACCUGUUAUUGUCGGAAGUACAUACACAGCCUCGAGGUUGCAAGCGGAAGAUUAUACUUGAUUGUGCCGUGACAACGCGAGGGGAGAUUGCGAGCUUUGAACCAAUUUAAGCGAACUUACAAUGCCACGCCCAUUGAAAAUGACUUACGGUGAUCAGAAGCCGCCAUAUUCGUACAUAUCAUUAACCGCCAUGGCCAUAAUACACUCGCCGCAAAAAUUGCUGCCGCUUAGUGAUAUAUAUAGAUUUAUAAUGGAACAGUUUCCUUACUAUCAGAAAAAUACUUCAAAAUGGCAAAAUUCAUUGCGUCACAAUUUAAGCUUUAAUGAUUGUUUUAUAAAGGUGCCCCGCAAUGAAAAGAAGGGCGGAAAAGGAUCAUAUUGGACACUUCAUCCAAUGGCAUUCAAUAUGUUUGAAAGUGGUAGCCUUUUACGACGACGAAAACGAUUUCAGGUUAAAAACAUUAAAAAGGAAAUGUUCGAUUGGAAGUUACCUGCCCCGCCGAUUAAUGGAGCAGGUCCCUACUUAGAUUACAAACGGGUACAAACCGGCUAUACUGAACCGUUAAUACAUAGCCAUAUAAAAGUUGAUAAUCUUUGGAAUUAUAAUGCUUGCCCACCGCUGCCUUCGUUAAGUGUUCCCAACGUACCAACUAUUCGUCCUAAGCGUGCAUUCACAAUUGAAAAUCUCAUUUCUCCAGAUUCUACUUGUACACGACGUAAAAAAUGCGUUGAAAAUGGAUAUAGAGACAAUGAAUAUGUCAAAGAACCAUUAAACAAGACGUACCUAAUUAAUCCAUAUUCUCACAAGUUAAAUGAACAAACAGCACAGUGCAAUGUCUACAUGACAAACAAUUUCCUCAAUAGCCAGUAUGGGAGAUUAGCUUACUAUCCGCAGGCACAUCAGCAUUUGUUAGAUUAUUAUCACGGCCCCUUAAGAUUAUUUUGAUUUGUGGUAUCCAAAAGUGUAUAGCCUAGAAUAAAUUCAAUAGAUGUAAAGAAUAAUUUAAUCAAUAUAAAUAAGUGAAACUAAAUUAUAAUUCAAUUAUUAUGUAUUUUUAACAAUAAUGAUUCGUGCAAGAACUGAAUAUAAAAUAAAUAUCUAUAAAAUGUGUAGUUUGAUUAAUUUUCGAAAAUAGUAGUAUACAUUGUAUGUAGUAUAUAUUGUUUAAAACUUUAUUAUUUAUUCAUUUUUGUAAAGUCAAAAGUAAGGACCAAAAAUUAGGUUUUAUCUUUAAAUUACUCUGAGAUAAAUGGGAACUUUUUGAAUGUACUUUGGCUUAGACAAAAAUAAGGUUGUAGGCCUCGAUGCUUAGAUUAUUUCCUCAUACUUAGAAAUUGCAAAAUAUGUACAUUCCCCAACAAAAUGCAAUCAUCACUGCAAUGAUUUAAUAAAUAUUAUUUUGUAUGACAUAUUUUAAUACGUGAACUCGUUAAUGGC
rnacentral:lncRNA from 1 species